UCAGCUGGGCUGAGCUGAGGGCAGGACAAAGAAAUCCCAGCCUGGGCCCAAGAAGGCAGGAGAAGUUCAUUCUCAAGAUCCUGUGACUGGCAAGGCAGAGCUGCAGCUGAGACUUUAUGGAUCCUUGGAGUCAUGGCAUUGGCCCAAAACUUUUCAGGUAAAAAGGUGAGAAUAAACUGAGGCUUGCCUGCAGCAGAAAGUUAGUUCAAGUGAAGGAGUUCAAAGAGUGCAAGUUCUAGUUGGAGUGGAAGCUGGAGUCUUGGAGAGCCAGGAGAGAAGAGCUGAGAAGAGCUGCUGAAAUUAGAGCUGAGGAAUCACUGGGAAAGUUGAGCUGAAACUCUCUGAAGAACUGAAUCACUCUCAAAGCAGCUGAAGGAUCAGCCUGGAACUGAACCACCAGAACCGGGUAGAAAGAGCAAGACCUGAGACUGAGAAAGUCAGGCUCUCAGCAGCAGCUGACUAGAAGUGAUUAUAGGAAGACUGCUGGUAAGGACUCUGAAUUAGAGCACAGUAUUCGGUGCAGGUUAAUUUGGAUGUGUUUUUCUCAUAUUUUAUUUGUUCCUUAUGCUCAUUUGGCUGUUUUUUUCUUUGUACUAAAAUUUCCAAAAGAACUACUGUCACAAUUUUUUGAAUUUAA